rnacentral:lncRNA from 1 species
CACCACUUUAGGAUAAGAAUCAAGAACACGUACCCAUUAAAUCCAACUAAUUCAACAAACACAACACCACACUGCCACACACACACCUCUGCAAUCACUCCGAUGGCGUCAACCGCAUGCUUCCUGCACACUUACGCUCCGUCAACCACCAAAACCUCCACUCACCGCCAGCCACUCCUCAAACCUACCCAACUCAUCUGCAGGGCCCAGAAGCAGCACUCCACCGAUGACGCUGACUCCGUCUCGAUCUCACGGCGUGUGGCAUUGACUGCCCUCGUGGGGGCCGUCGCCGUCGGAUCCAGAGUCUCUCCCGCUGACGCUGCAUAUGGCGAAGCAGGUAAUAAUUAACAAGCCGAGGGAAUUAAUUUGGUCAAUUAGCAAUUUAGCAUAAAUUUGACGAUUAAUAAACCGAACAUAUAUGUGAGGUACAGCCAACGUGUUUGGGAAACC